AUGAAAUUGUCAACCAUAAUUAUGACCCUAGUAUCGAUCUAUUGCAUUUCAAUCUGUUUUAGGGUUAGGGGUGGGGGCAAGGGUAUCUCUUUUCCUUCUCAAAUGUAAAUAAACCCAAUCUGUUUCUUAAACGAGGGACAUAUUCAUACGGUACAGAAUGUUUUUUUUACCUCAAUAGACGUCAGUGAUUGGUUGAAAUUGCAGAAAUUGAAG